CCAGGCAGUGGGCUGGGAUGGAGAAGGGUCCCAGGUGGGAUGGGUCAGUCCCUCAGACAGGUGCUGCCCAUCUGGGGUGAGGCACAGCUCCAGAGAAGACAUAUAGGAGAGCUUGGCAGGAGGCUGAGCUCCUGCUGGAGUCAGGCUUCAGACUGCAUCAAUUCUGACUGUAAGAGGUUUGGACUCAAGGAUGCAAGGGGUUGGGACGCUCUGAUACAACCUUGCUAAAAUCAUGCUAGGUUGAAUGUCAAGCGGGUGGCCUUACGAGAGCAAACUGAGGAAUCCCCAUGUGUUCUUUCUAAAGUUAGUCCCUCCAAACUCUUAUAGGCUAUCAGCUGUUGUCUGUUUCCCUCAAAUAACAGGGGAAAGAGCUCGUUCCUAUAUUUGUUGGGGCUGUUUUCUACGCAGAUAUGGACGGCUGCUCUCUUUUGUAAGCAAAAAGAAAGGUGACAGUGAGCAUAAUAUUCUGUGCAGCUAUAUGAAGGUCUUAGUCUAUAAUGCCCAGCUGGCAAAGCACCUGCAAAUCCAGCACACCAGGCCUUGUGAAGUGCAUGUCUACCUCAGGAACAUUUGAAAUUUCUUGCUGUAGGCAGGUCAAUGCCUAUGAGUUGAGAGCCAGAAUGAGACAUGCAUCUCAGCCUUGGAAGGUGCAGGGAGGACUGAUUACUGACACCUUGCCCCUAACCUGAUGAGGAAGUGAAAUUCCACAGAUCAACUGAGGCUGCUGUUGUGAGGUGUACCCAUCUGUGGUCCCCACUUCAGUUCAACACGAAGACUUGCUCUGUCACACCCCCAGUAGAGUGCUACAGAAGAAGAGAUAACUAUAAAUGAAACAGACUUAAUUCCUUCCUGUGGGCAUGAAAGUGCCUCGAGCCACCUUCAUAACUGUGCACCUGGGUGACUGUCAGAGCUUCACUGUUCUCCCAAAAGCCUCCUCCAAGGAGCUGGACUCCUCACUGUGUCCUGGUCUUGGCCUCUGAGUGGCCUCUCACUUGGAGGCAUGCUGUUCAGCUGCUGGAUAUCUCCCCAAGCACCCAAAGCUGUUGUUUGUCUUGGUUUACCUGUGUAUGAACUGCAGUGACACUUCACAGAGAAGCUAUGAGAUCUUCUUAAUGAAUGUGCAUGGAGGACCCAGGCUGGAGAGAUGCAAAAUAACAAAUGAAUACAACUGUGUAGCCUCAGAGUGCUCCUAAAGAAAGUUGAGUAUGUGAUGAGAACAAGUUUUAAUAGAUCCUGACCAAACGUCCCUAUGUUGCAGGCCUGUGAGCAAAAUGCAAUCUGCCUCAUGCCAUGUGUGAGGAGACUUGGAGAGCCAAUUAAAACUGCAAGCAAAAUCUUGAAAUUUAUUUUUAUUUAUUUAUCUUGAGCAGAGGAUUUUAGGAUAUGCAAUCCUAGGCACAUCUGAAGUGUACAGCACCUGUGCUUCAGUGUGGUUUGGUGAUCUAGCACUGGUAUCCUGGGUGGCAGCAUAAAAUAUUCACAAAGACAAAUGCGAGCUGAAGCUGCUACAGGCUCCCUCUACCAGCUGUGUGGGCAAUAAAUAAAGAAAUAAAUAAAACAAAACCCACCCAGCUAAACUGGAUGUGGCAGGCGAGCAGAAGUGUCUCUGUCUGAACCUGUGCAUGUGUGAGUUAGUCUGUGUGCUUUAAGAGCCAAAUUAGCAGAGUUUUGUGAACAAUGUUCUCUCGACAAGUCAGGUGAAUUUUAUUCCUUGCUUUCAGCUGUUCCGCUGAAUUUUAUGCAGCUCUCCAGAGACUCGCAAGCUCAGAGAGUUCUUUCCAAAAAUGUCGUGUUUGCUCUCUCAGUUACAUUCCUCGCCCUGUCAAACCUCCGCUGCUCUAGUCCCCAUUUCUUUCAAAUGUUUUUCUUCUGUAUGUGUGUGUGCUUUAGUGACUGCAUAUAGCCAACGGUUUUUCUUCCAGUCAGCUCUGAAACAAUAGUGAAGUUAAACCACUUCCCUUCAAUAAAAGGAAAGGGGGCACAAAGAUUUAGAGAGCGACUGAGAGGAGACAGGAAACUGAAAGAAAGGGUCUGCAUGGGGCUGAUGAUACAUAACGGGAUGUGAUGUCCUUCUAGCCAGCAUCCAGUCCCUUUGGUGCCCCGUCAGUGUCUCUAGGGGACAGGGCACAAUUUUCUACAAUGGGUAGGGUUUGGACAACUGUGGAAGAACAAGGAAUGGAGAAGAAAGCGUUUGGGGGUUGUUUUUCUUUUUCUUUUUUUUUUUUUUCCCCAUUACCUCAUCAAAUAAAGGAUUUUGAUGUUACAAAUAGCCCCUGAAGAGGCAGAGGCCUGCUUGGAGGGCCUGCUCCUUCCAGGAGCUGCUGGAUGUGUCUUUGACCGUCAUGGGCAUAGCGGUUGCUCAGACUGGUCUCAGAUCUCAACAGACUCACCCCUACAGGGCAGGUUUGUUUCCCUCUGGUCUCUCCUGGCUUCACCCGCUAACUGUGUUGUGAAUUAAUGCCACAUGUAAUGCUGGGGACACCUGCUGGCCUGGCCUGCAGGGCCAAGUGACCCCACAGUGGCAGGGGGCUUGUGGGCACUCAUGACCCAGGGAGAAUUUGAAUGAGUGACCCAAAGGCAAAAGGCUCAGUUGGUAUCCUGUUACUAAUCCCCUCAUCCAGCCAGAUCCCCAUCUCUUCCCCUCUUUUUUUUUUUUUUUUUUUUUUUUCUUAAAGGGCAUUUGCUGCACCAGCUGCCAGAAUAUCUCAAUUGCAUCAUGUCAACAGAUCCAUCUCAGACUGAUAUUUUAUACUAGGGGAAGGCUGGGCUUAACUCUUCCAUUAAACAAUUAAAGCCAUGCGCACCAAACUCAAAACAGGCUCUGCUGUAACAGAACAAUAAAUAUUGAUGACUUGAGGCAA